rnacentral:lncRNA from 10 species
AGGAAGUGAAUCUUCACAGGGAAGGAAGCAACAAAACUCUGCCUUUGGCUUUUGCUGGCUGAGCAGGGAAAGGCCUAUAGACACAGGGCAUUGGGCAGGAGCUAGAACAGCCCUCCCUAGAGCACUACAUAAAGCAGCCAAUAUUUUGCAAAGCAUAGGGAAGAGUGAAAGUCAUCCGGGGCAUUUGCAGACACAGCACUAAGAACUUGGUGACAACAGCCCUGAAGCAAAACAGCAGCAUGUACUGGGCAGGGCUUGGGAGAUAAGACAGGACAUCUGAAGCUAAACAUGGAUCCCCUCUGAAAGCUACAAUCAAAGUGUCAUCCACAAAAUCUUAUCUCAAGCCUUGACUAGAGAAGGACCCACUUCCAAGACCACAGAGUUGAAUGAAUUCAGUCCUUGCAGCCCGUUGAACUGAGGGCCUCCCCAACAUGCUCACCUGCUUCAUCAAAGCCUGCGAGAGAGAGAGUCCACUAGCAAGAGGACAUUGCAGUCUUAUCUAAUGCAAUCACUGAAGUGACAUCCUGUCACCUUGGUCACCUUUUCUAUUCUAUUCAUUAUAAAUGAGUCCCAAGUCCUGCCACACUCAAGUGGAGGGGAUUACACAGGGCUGGAGUACCAGCGGUGGGGAUAAUUUGGGGUCAUCUUAGAGUUCUUCCAUCACACGGGAAUUCUCAGCUCACCAAAUCUGGGAUUCCGCAUCUGGCCAUUCCUUAAGCUGAAGGCCUGGCAUAUUUUUGAGUGUCCAUUUGGAUCAGCUAAUAAACCCAGGGUUUGUCUACUGGCUGGAGGAGUAAGAACUAUAAGGCUAAUUGAAAUGAAUCUACUUAAAAUAGUGACCUGAUUUUUCUAAUAAUUACUGGAAGGUAAGGGUUGAUUGAGACUUUAAAAUAAAACCAAAAAUUAUUCUAA